AGCGUACACGGUGGAUGCCUUGGCAGUCAGAGGCGAUGAAGGACGUGGUAGCCUGCGAAAAGGCUCGGGGAGGUGGCAAACGACCUUUGAUCCGGGCAUGUCCGAAUGGGGAAACCCACCUGAUUUAUCAGGUAUCCCUUACUGAAUACAUAGGUAAGGCGAAGCGAACCGGGAGAACUGAAACAUCUAAGUAACCCGAGGAAAAGAAAUCAACCGAGAUUCCCCAAGUAGUGGCGAGCGAACGGGGACCAGCCCUUAAGCACUUUGAGUUUUAACAGAAGCGUCUGGAAAGUCGCGCCAUAGUGGGUGAUAGCCCCGUAUGUGAAAAGGCUCUUAGUGUGAAAUCGAGUAGGACGGGACACGUGUAAUCCUGUCUGAAUAUGGGGGGACCAUCCUCCAAGGCUAAAUACUCCUGACUGACCGAUAGCGAACCAGUACCGUGAGGGAAAGGCGAAAAGAACCCCGGAGAGGGGAGUGAAAUAGACCCUGAAACCGUGUACGUACAAGCAGUGGGAGCCCUUCGGGGUGACUGCGUACCUUUUGUAUAAUGGGUCAGCGACUUAUUGUUAGUGGCAAGCUUAACCGAAUAGGGGAGGCGUAGGGAAACCGAGUCUUAAUAGGGCGUCCAGUCGCUAGCAGUAGACCCGAAACCGAGCGAUCUAUCCAUGGGCAGGUUGAAGGUGCAGUAACAUGCACUGGAGGACCGAACCGACUCCCGUUGUAAAGGUAGCGGAUGACCUGUGGAUCGGAGUGAAAGGCUAAUCAAGCUCGGAGAUAGCUGGUUCUCCUCGAAAGCUAUUUAGGUAGCGCCUCGGACGAAUACUACUGGGGGUAGAGCACUGUUUCGGCUAGGGGGUCAUCCCGACUUACCAACCCGAUGCAAACUCCGAAUACCAGUAAGUACUAUCCGGGAGACACACGGCGGGUGCUAACGUCCGUCGUGAAAAGGGAAACAACCCAGACCGCCAGCUAAGGUCCCAAAGUUCUAGUUAAGUGGGAAACGAUGUGGGAAGGCUCAGACAGCUAGGAGGUUGGCUUAGAAGCAGCCACCCUUUAAAGAAAGCGUAAUAGCUCACUAGUCGAGUCGGCCUGCGCGGAAGAUAUAACGGGGCUAAAACUAGACACCGAAGCUGCGGGUGCAUCUUAGGAUGCGCGGUAGAGGAGCGUUCUGUAAGUCUGUGAAGGUGAGUUGUAAAGCUUGCUGGAGAUAUCAGAAGUGCGAAUGCUGACAUGAGUAACGUUAAAGGGAGUGAAAAGCUCCCUCGCCGAAAGACCAAGGGUUCCUGUCCAACGUUAAUCGGGGCAGGGUGAGUCGACCCCUAAGGCGAGGCCGAAAGGCGUAGUCGAUGGGAAGCAGGUUAAUAUUCCUGCACCUGUGUUUACUGCGAUGGGGGGACGGAGAAGGCUAGGCCAGCAAGGCGUUGGUUGUCCUUGUUUAAGGUCGUAGGCUGAGACGGUAGGCAAAUCCGCUGUCUUAAAGCUGAGAACUGAUGACGAGUCUGCUUGCAGACGAAGUGGUUGAUGCCAUGCUUCCAGGAAAAGCCUCUAAGCUUCAGGUAAACACAGAUCGUACCCCAAACCGACACUGGUGGUCGGGUAGAGAAUACCAAGGCGCUUGAGAGAACUCGGGUGAAGGAACUAGGCAAAAUGGCACCGUAACUUCGGGAGAAGGUGCGCCGGCAUGCCGUGAAAGCCCUCGCGGCUGGAGCGGAAACCGGUCGAAGAUACCAGGCCGCUGCGACUGUUUAUCAAAAACACAGCACUCUGCAAACACGAAAGUGGACGUAUAGGGUGUGACGCCUGCCCGGUGCCGGAAGGUUAAUUGAUGGGGUUAGCGCAAGCGAAGCUCUUGAUCGAAGCCCCGGUAAACGGCGGCCGUAACUAUAACGGUCCUAAGGUAGCGAAAUUCCUUGUCGGGUAAGUUCCGACCUGCACGAAUGGCGUAACGAUGGCGGCACUGUCUCCACCCGAGACUCAGUGAAAUUGAAAUCGCUGUGAAGAUGCAGCGUAUCCGCGGCUAGACGGAAAGACCCCGUGAACCUUUACUAUAGCUUCACACUGGACUUUGAUGCUGCUUGUGUAGGAUAGGUGGGAGGCUUUGAAGCGAGGACGCCAGUUCUCGUGGAGCCAACCUUGAAAUACCACCCUGGCAUCAUUGAGGUUCUAACUCAGGUCCGUUAUCCGGAUCGAGGACAGUGUGUGGUGGGUAGUUUGACUGGGGCGGUCUCCUCCCAAAGAGUAACGGAGGAGCGCGAAGGUACCCUCAGGCUGGUCGGAAAUCAGCCAAUGAGUGCAAGCGUAGAAGGGUGCUUAACUGCGAGACAGACACGUCGAGCAGGUACGAAAGUAGGUGCUAGUGAUCCGGUGGUUCUGUAUGGAAGGGCCAUCGCUCAACGGAUAAAAGGUACUCCGGGGAUAACAGGCUGAUACCGCCCAAGAGUUCACAUCGACGGCGGUGUUUGGCACCUCGAUGUCGGCUCAUCACAUCCUGGGGCUGAAGCCGGUCCCAAGGGUAUGGCUGUUCGCCAUUUAAAGUGGUACGCGAGCUGGGUUCAGAACGUCGUGAGACAGUUCGGUCCCUAUCUGCCGUGGACGUUGGAGACUUGAGAAGAGCUGCUCCUAGUACGAGAGGACCGGAGUGGACGAACCUCUGGUGUUCGGGUUGUGAUGCCAAUCGCAUUGCCCGGUAGCUAUGUUCGGACGGGAUAACCGCUGAAAGCAUCUAAGCGGGAAGCCCCCUUCAAGAUGAGGUCUCCCUGAGGACUUGAUCCUCCUGUAGGGCCCUUAAAGACCAUGAGGUUGAUAGGCUGGGUGUGUAAGCGUUGU
rnacentral:rRNA from 1 species